GAUAACACAUUAGUAAUACUAUAAUACUACUGUUUCUUUAUUAUUAUUAUUAUUAUCUACUUCUCUGAUUAGUAUUCAACCUGUGUAACCAAUUGUAUCACCAAUGUUCAUAUCACUGUCAAUUUAUAAAAUAUACUUCCUGUCAGCAAAGUAAGUUUUCAUGAGACUAUAUCUAGACCUAUUCUAUAGUAUAGAAGCUGAGGCUGCAACCUGAUCUCAUAGUUUCACUUCUAAAUUCAAAUGUAAUCUAGAUUAAUAUAUUUUUGACGCAUUAAUUCCACAUGGUUAAAGGGUUAAUUCUGUGUGGUUACUGGGUUAAAUCGGGUGGUUACAGGGUUAAUUCUGUGUGGUUACUGGGUUAAAUCGGUGUGGUUACAGGGUUAAAACACUUACGGUUAGUGGUUAAGGUUUGGGUUAUGGGUUGGGGAAUGCUUAAAACUAAAAUGAUUAAACACAACUCUCUGUUUCCAUCAAGUACUCUCCCAGCUUGCUAGAGCAUUGUGAACUGUCGUGGUGCAGUCGUCAGAGCAGAGUGCUUGGUCUGUGUGGUCUGAGCACGCUUCCCCUCUGGGCAUCAUGAGUUUGCACCAGUGUUCUGCAACAGUUUGGUAUUGUUUUAGUGAGCACUGAGGAAGGAAUAUAUGGAAGUACUCAGGACCUUUUCAAACAUCCUGAAUCCCCUUGUAUUUCUAGUGACCAGGCUGAGUACAUUAUACUACUACUACUACUAUUAGACUACUACUACUAUUAUUUAUAACAUGUAAAAGUGUUUCUCUGCUGUGGAGAUUAAAUAAUGGCCAUUGUUUUUCUUCCAAAAUUAUAUUAUAGAUAUUUAUCAAUGGAUUUAAGAAGAAUGUCUGGAUUGGUACAUAUAAAAAAGAUGGAAUCUGGGAGUGGAUUGGCAUAACACUAUUUAAACCUACCUAUUGGAUGGAAGGGGAACCAAAUAACAUGCAUGACGAGUGUGUUGAGAUCUCACAGACGGCAUCAGACCCAUUGAAGAGUUGGAAGAAUGGUCUAUGUGCUACUCCAAAAUACUGGGUGUGUGAAAAACCGUUCACCCCAUAGUCUAAUUAUAAUAGCUAAAUGUAAGCCCUUAUCUUAUGGAAUUGCACUGGUUUUCCCUUUGUUAGUCUUAAACUGUUUUUGUUUCUAUGUGUAAUUAAAUUGAAAGAUGUAUUCAUGUCUUUAAAGAGACCAGAGCUAUGUGGAGUCUACCAUUCAUCAGGCCCAGGGGAGUGGAACUGUGGUCUAGUAGGCUCUAACUGUGGUUUAGAUUUUUACCAUUAUGGUGUGCAUAUAACAAUUUAACAAGAUGCUGUUUUCAUAUAAGUUUUUACAGUUAUCAAUACAUUUCAAAUGCAGCAGUGUUCUGUUUUCGCUUCCAUUCUGUUCCAUAUGUACCAUGUGUUCAUUCUACUGAUUAAAUACAUGUAUAUACUAUGA